AUGGCCGCAGUACCUUGACUGUGCUAAGGUAGCAUAAUAAAUUGACUCUUAAUUGGGGCCUUGAAUGAACGGAUAAAUGAAUAAUUUCUGUCUUAAAUAAACUUAAUAAAAAUUACUAAGAAGGUGAAAAUUCCUUUAAAUUUAUUUAAUAGACGAGAAGACCCUAGGAGUUUUAAAUUUUGUUGGGGCGACAGUAUAGCAUAAUUAAUAAACCUAUAUAAAUUAAUAUAUAUAAAACGAAUAAUUUUAAUAAUAAAUAAACUACCCUAGGGAUAACAGCAUAAUUUAUAUUUAAGUUUGUGACCUCGAUGUUGGACUAGGAACUUUUAAUAUUAAUAAUAUUAAUUGGUAGUUCUGUUCGA
rnacentral:rRNA from 1 species